rnacentral:misc_RNA from 1 species
UGGCUCUGGCAUCGAUGAAGAACGCAGCAAAAUGCGAUAAGUAGUGUGAAUUGCAGAAUUCAGUGAAUCAUCGAAUCUUUGAACGCACAUUGCGCCCCUUGGUAUUCCUUGGGGCAUGCCUGUCCGAGCGUCAUUUACACCCUCAAGCUCUGCUUGGUGUUGGGCGUCUGUCCCGCCUCCGGCGCGGACUCGCCUCAAAGUCAUUGGCAGCCCCUCCCGGCGGCAGCGGGCGCAGCAGAAUUGCGCACCCCGCGGCUCCGGAGGGUGCUCUCCACGAAGCUUCUCUCCAAAUCUUGACCUCGGAUCAGGUAGGGAUACCCGCUGA